GACGAACGCUGGCGGCGUGCUUAACACAUGCAAGUCGAACGGAAAGGCCCUGCUUUUGUGGGGUGCUCGAGUGGCGAACGGGUGAGUAACACGUGAGUAACCUGCCCUUGACUUUGGGAUAACUUCAGGAAACUGGGGCUAAUACCGGAUAGGAGCUCCUGCUGCAUGGUGGGGGUUGGAAAGUUUCGGCGGUUGGGGAUGGACUCGCGGCUUAUCAGCUUGUUGGGGGGGUAGUGGCUUACCAAGGGUUUGACGGGUAGCCGGCCUGAGAGGGUGACCGGGGACAAGGGGACUGAGAGACGGCCCAGACUCCUACGGGAGGCAGCAGUGGGGAAUAUUGCACAAUGGGCGGAAGCCUGAUGCAGCAACGCCGCGUGCGGGAUGACGGCCUUCGGGUUGUAAACCGCUUUCGCCUGUGACGAAGCGUGAGUGACGGUAAUGGGUAAAGAAGCACCGGCUAACUACGUG
rnacentral:rRNA from 1 species